UGCAGGAGUGACUGCUGUCAGAGGUAAGGUCUCAGCCUGGGCGGCCAUGGGUCGGAGCAGCACACUUCAGGGACGCAUUUCUGUAGUUUAUUUUGUGCCACUGUUCAGAGGGUAGCUGCUUCAGUCGUCACAUCCUCAGACAUCCUCAGAGUUUUGUCGGUCACCAAGAGCUACAGCAACGAUGUGCAGCAAUAUUCAUGUGCUGAGAGGUGAGCCCUGCUGCCAGCCCCACCUCCUGGCUCUGCUGGUGACUAUUGACUCCUGCAGUCCAAGCAGCAGAAGGAAAUGCAGACACAAUUCAUCUGCCUCAGAAAACAGAUUCGCUGUUGCCCUGAGCAGAGAGGUGUACGGGCAGCUGGAGGUGCAACGGGAAAGCCAGAAAAGAGGGCAGAGUGAUGGAGACUGCCCCUGACUGCCUGAAGUUGAAGUUCUCAUCUAGAAAGCAGGAGACCUACAUUCAGCGCUCUCCUCAGCCUAAGAUGAUUCAAAGACACGUCUUGCCCCCUCUAGGAGUCUACUCCAGCUACUGGACUGCAUACUUCUAUGGACAUGAGCAUUCCCUGCCUCUUCUCUCAAAGAAAGAGUGACAGAACAGAAAGGAAACAAACUUCAGAGGGCCAGAGAGAGAGAGAACAAGCAAGAAAGCACCUCUUUAUGUCAUCCACUAAUGUGGGUAUUCAGUUGAAGGAAGGAGGCUUUGGCUGCAGUCUGCUUCCAGAAGAGCUUAUACAUUUUUAUCCCAUCCUUUACAGCACUAAAUAUUCAGGGGGAGGGGGGAAAAAAAAAGGAAACAACUAUACUUGUUAUUUUAUGGAAUAAAAAGGUCUUCAAUCUGAAUUUGCUUGAUAACUAUUGACAUUUGCUAACUCAGAAUUGUCAAAGGAGUUUAAGUGCUGUGUACUUCCAUCCCAGCUGUGAGAAUAAUUAACAUGAACAGA